UGAGUAUGAGCUGCUACGGCAGCGAAGUGGGUGACGUCAAGCUUCCAAGAAAAGCCCUACACCCGUUAAGGCAUGAUGGCCUGUACCCGAAACCGACACAGGUGGGGUGGUAGAGAAUACCGAGGGGCGCGAGGUAACUCUCUCUAAGGAACUCGGCAAAAUGGCCCCGUAACUUCGGGAGAAGGGGUGCCACCGCAAGGUGGUCGCAGUGAAGAGGCCCAGGCGACUGUUUACCAAAAACACAGGUCUCCGCUAAGUCGCAAGACGAUGUAUGGGGGCUGACGCCUGCCCAGUGCCGGAAGGUUAAGGAAGCUGGUCAGCGCAAGCGAAGCUGGCGACUGAAGCCCCGGUGAACGGCGGCCGUAACUAUAACGGUCCUAAGGUAGCGAAAUUCCUUGUCGGGUAAGUUCCGACCCGCACGAAAGGCGUAACGAUCUGGGCGCUGUCUCGGAGAGAGGCUCGGCGAAAUAGAAUUGUCUGUGAAGAUGCGGACUACGUGCACCCGGACAGAAAGACCCUAUGAAGCUUUACUGUAGCUUGGUAUUGUGCCCGGGCUCUGAAUGCGCAGGAUAGGUGGGAGGCUUUGAUCCAUUGCUUGUGGGUGAUGGUGAGCCAACGGUGAGAUACCACUCUUUCAGAGCUAGGGUUCUAACGGUCACCCGUUAUCCGGGGACCGGACAGUAUCAGGUGGGCAGUUUGACUGGGGCGGUCGCCUCCUAAAAGGUAACGGACGCGCGCAAAGGUUCCCUCAGGCUGGUUGGAAAUCAGCCGAUGAGUGUAAAGGCAGAAGGGAGCUUGACUGUGAGACCUACAAGUCGAACAGGGACGAAAGUCGGCCUUAGUGAUCCGACGGUUCUGAGUGGAAGGGCCGUCGCUCAACGGAUAAAAGUUACUCUAGGAUAACAGGCUGAUCUCCCCCAAGAGUUCACAUCGACGGGGAGGUUUGGCACCUCGAUGUCGGCUCAUCGCAACCUGGGGCUGAAGUCGGUCCCAAGGGUUGGGCUGUUCGCCCAUUAAAGCGGUACGCGAGCUGGGUUCAGAACGUCGUGAGACAGUUCGGUCCAUAUCCGGUGCAUGCGCAGGAAUAUUGAGAGGAUUUCUCCCUAGUACGAGAGGACCGGGAGGAACGCACCUCUGGUGUACCAGUUAUCGUGCCAACGGUAAACGCUGGGUAGCCAUGUGCGGAGUGGAUAACCGCUGAAAGCAUCUAAGUGGGAAGCCCACCUCAAGAUGAGUAUUCCCAUGGCGUUAGCCAGUAAGGUCACGGGCAGAACACCCGUUGAUAGGCUCUACGUGGAAGCCGGGUAACCGGUGAAGCGGAGGAGUACUAAUAGACCGAGGGCUUGAC
rnacentral:rRNA from 1 species